rnacentral:rRNA from 1 species
UGGGGAAUAUUGCACAAUGGGCGCAAGCCUGAUGCAGCCAUGCCGCGUGUGUGAAGAAGGCCUUCGGGUUGUAAAGCACUUUCAGCGAGGAGGAAGGGUAGUGUGUUAAUAGCACAUUGCAUUGACGUUACUCGCAGAAGAAGCACCGGCUAACUCCGUGCCAGCAGCCGCGGUAAUACGGAGGGUGCAAGCGUUAAUCGGAAGUACUGGGCGUAAAGCGCACGCAGGCGGUUUGUUAAGUCAGAUGUGAAAUCCCCGCGCUUAACGUGGGAACUGCAUUUGAAACUGGCAAGCUAGAGUCUUGUAGAGGGGGGUAGAAUUCCAGGUGUAGCGGUGAAAUGCGUAGAGAUCUGGAGGAAUACCGGUGGCGAAGGCGGCCCCCUGGACAAAGACUGACGCUCAGGUGCGAAAGCGUGGGGAGCAAACA